GAUGAACGCUGGCGGCGUGCCUAAUACAUGCAAGUCGAGCGAACAGAUGAGGAGCUUGCUCCUCUGACGUUAGCGGCGGACGGGUGAGUAACACGUGGAUAACCUACCUAUAAGACUGGGAUAACUUCGGGAAACCGGAGCUAAUACCGGAUAAUAUAUUGAACCGCAUGGUUCAAUAGUGAAAGACGGUUUUGCUGUCACUUAUAGAUGGAUCCGCGCCGAAUUAGCUAGUUGGUAAGGUAACGGCUUACCAAGGCAACGAUGCGUAGCCGACCUGAGAGGGAGAGCGGCCUCACCGGAAUUGGAGAGCGGACCGGCACCCUGGGGGUGGGACAAGGAGGAGAUCUUCACGAAAGGGAGAAGGGCGGAAGGAGGAACGACGGGGGAAUGACGAAGGCAGCGGGAUCGUAAAACUUUGUAAGUAGGGAAGAACAAAUGUGUAAUUAAAUAGGCAGAUCUUGACGGUACCAAACGAAAAAGCCACGGCUAAUUACGUG
rnacentral:rRNA from 1 species